rnacentral:rRNA from 1 species
AACGAACGCUGGCGGCGUGCCUAACACAUGCAAGUCGAACGGGGUGAGGUAGCUUGCUACUUCAUCUAGUGGCGCACGGGUGAGUAACGCGUGGAUAAUCUGCCCGAUGCUCAGGGAUAACAUCUCGAAAGGGGUGCUAAUACCUGAUAAGCCCACGGACUCUUCGGAGUUUGCGGGAAAAGGGGGGACCUUCGGGCCUCCCGACAUCGGAUGAGUCCGCGUCCCAUUAGCUAGUUGGUGGGGUAAAGGCCUACCAAGGCGACGAUGGGUAGCUGGUCUGAGAGGAUGAUCAGCCACACUGGAACUGAGACACGGUCCAGACUCCUACGGGAGGCAG